rnacentral:lncRNA from 1 species
AAACACGGCUUUUUCUUCUUCUAAUGAAGUCAAAAAAGGCGUCUCUCUUUUUUAUAAAUAAGUCUUUAUCGGUGUUCUUGGAUUCUUCAUUGAAUCUCUUUUUAUUCUGAUUUCUCAUGGGGAAGGUAACUGUGCUGCAUAUCGGAGAUGAUGAGUCUCCGUUUCAAGGGAUGGACAUGACAGGAUUCAUCAUCGUCUUGGCUAUUCUAAUUCUUCUCUUCCAACUAUGUGCACCGAACCCAUCAAGGCGCAAACCAAGAACCUUCUUGGUCCGCCGAAGGAUGUGGUGAAUAUAGACGGACUGUCAAUUGUAGACGGAUGGUGUUACGGAUUUCAGAAUAAGAAAAGUAAGUAGUUAGGUAGUAACUAUGAGAGGUGUAAUCUGUAUUCAAUUGAAAUACUAUUUUCAUAUUUCUUAAGUGUGAUUUUUAGAUUUUGGGGGUUUAUAUUCUAUUCUACUUAUAUUGCAGUUUAUAAUGGGAAAUUGGGAAUAAAUGAAUAAUUUAUGGGAUUUUUUUUAAUGUAUGCUAAAAUUAGAUAAUAGAUGCCAUGAUAGGAUCAUCAAAAGCCUCAAAUCUGAUGAUCAUGAUACACAAUCAAUAGAUCAUAAUUUAUACACAUUAAAGUUCUGAAUAUGAAGAUCAAAAUUUAAUCAAUAUAUAUCUUUUUUUUAUAUAUAAUCAAAGGUAUUUUUUUACAAUUAUAGAAAACUUCGACAGUCACAUAAUAUAUCAUAAUAUCAUUGUAGUAAAAUUUAAAAAAAAUAGGUCGAUACUUAUCUCCUUAAUAAUAUAAAUCUUUAUAAACCUUAAUAGUUACCAUGAGUAAUUAAACUAAUCUCCUUAUAUUAUUUAAUGUAGAUCUCACAUCAGAUAAGUUGAGUUUGAAUUAUAAAAGACUUAACGAUUAAAAGGUCGAUUUAGCCUAACAGUAGAAACAUUGCAGUCAUUUCAGACUGUCAAAUUCAGACAAGGAUAUUUUGACUUGGAAACAUUCAAAGUAAACGAGUAAUCUUGAUUCGGCCCACUCUCUUGUUGCGCGUAUGAAAAUAAGCUUCUCCAUUUUAACUUUAUGAAGGUUGCAAGCUCAUUCAAUAAAAUGCGGAUAAUCUUAUGAUGGAAGGUAUUUUUAUAAAUAAAUUUAUCAAUACUUUGAAUUUUUCAACUAUCAAAGGUUUAAAAGUUGAUAUACAAAGUAAAAUUUUAAUUACACAGAAAGAUUAGCUCAAUAGUCUACAAUAACUAUUAAGGUUUUUGAUAAUUUAAUAUUUUAAUUUAGUUGUAUAUGCAACUGAUAAUUUAGUUCACAAUUGAUAAUUCAAGAUUCUAGUGUGUUACAAAGUUAUUUAAAUGAAAUGGAAACUACAAUUAACAACUAACUAAUCAUUGUUUAUUGCAAUCAACUAUGAUUAAAGCAAUGACAAUUAUUUCUUCUAAUACCCCCUCCUAAUUGUUGUAGCUUGUAGAAUUAUCAGAAUUAUUGUGAAAAUUAUCUUACAAGUCCUUGUAAAACAUAUAUAUCCUAUCACUUAAUAGCUAACAACAUCAUUUCAAAUAUACACCUACUUCCUAAUACAUUACUCCCUAAUAUACACAUUUCCUAAUCCAAUUUAUUACCAUAAUUAAUCACACCUACCAAACCCACCUAAACCCUCAUAGCCGUUGGGUCCUUACCUCCAUAAAUAUGAACUAUUACAACUCAAUCUCUAGGUUUUGGAUUCAAGUUCUUGGUCCUAAAUCACCAUCUUAAUCUUCUCCAAUCUGUUCUCUGAAAUCUGCAAUCGGUCAUCUGGAAUUCAAAUCAUCUAGUCAAGCUUGUUCUUCAUCUAGAGAUCAUUCAUCCGAUCUAUUAAUCGUCUUCAUCAUCUCCAGCAUCUCAUUCCUGCAAUCGUUCAAUCUUCACAAAUCUGUAUUGUCAUUUACUUUCAAUAAAACAUAUUGUCAUCAUAUAUAAAUAUCUCAUCGCUUGGAUAAUCACAUUUGAUGAUAAUACAUCAUAGUCAUACAUUUCUAACAUGGUAUCAGAGCAGUAAAAGAUCUUGCUAAUCAUACAACAACAUUUUUUUCUUCCGAAAAGAUAAAAGUUUCCUUCCAUAAGUUAAUUUUUUUUACUUACUGAUCACAAGAUCAGCCUCCCUUUUCAGCUUCAUUAAGAGGAACAAUCCAUAAUCAGGAUCAAUCUCACCAUCCAUACGAUUAAGCUAUCUGCUGUGAUAACUGUUUAAUAUUGCCCAAACUCAUAGUAGAAGUAGAAUCACUCCAUACAUCAUCCAUACCAUCCAAGCUAGAUAGCAUCCAUAUCAACAGGACUUUUCACAUCAGAAAAGUUCAAAUCCUCAUCAGUCAUUUUUUCAGCUUUCACACCUGAAAAAGAAGGGAAAACAGAGGAUAUUCAUCAUAGUAUAAUACAUCCAUCACAUUUUUUUUUUCCACAAGUAAUCAGUAUUUCUUCUUUCAUUUCAAGUAUUUUUUGUUCACAAGUUGUCAAAAGGUUUCAGAAAAGUUAGUUUAAAANNNNNNNNNNNNNNNNNNNNNNNNNNNNNNNNNNNNNNNNNNNNNNNNNNNNNNNNNNNNNNNNNNNNNNNNNNNNNNNNNNNNNNNNNNNNNNNNNNNNAAUUGACUAAGGACUCAUCAUUAGACGAGAAGGAUACUCCCCAUCCCAAACUCCAAGGUCCAGAGCUUUUUCCUUAUAGUGAGCUCUCAACCUUGCCUUCAUCCUCCUACGCCUCAGCAUCCUCACACAGUCCUUUUCCUCACACUUAAAAAUACAGUAGUCUUCACUUUCCCUAGCCUUCUCAUCAUCACUAAGUCCAUAAACACCACCAGCUCCCUCAUCAACAUUCCAGUCUUCAUCAAAACCAUCAGGUUCUUCAUCAUCAGGAUCACUGUCAAGUGGCUGUGGUCCCUGAUCUGGAUCAUCAUCCACAAAAUCAGGAUUUUCAUUAUUCCUCAUAUACUCAACCCACCAGCUCCUAGGGGCCUCAAACACUCUUCCAGCCCAAGCUGCAUUUUUCCAAGCCACAGGAUCAAAAGGAGGUUGGUAAACAGGAAACUUUCUUGGCACCACCACAUGAUCGACACAUUCCAUAGCAGCACCACCUAUGUCCUGAUAUUUUCCAGCAUCAUUCUGAUCAUCUGCAUUUAUUUAUUUUUCAGAAACAAAAUGUCAAAUGGAAAUGUUAUCUCAACAUAUUCAGACAAUCUAGGAAUCCAGUUAGUACCAUUCAAGAUGGAUGGAAACAACUGGAACAUUUGGAGUGCACAGUUUGUUAUAGCUGUGGAAUCCAAAAACAAGGAGAAGUUCUUAACAGGUGAAAUACCCACUUCCGAACAAACAAAUGAGAAAGAAUACGAGAGAUGGAAAGCAACUGAUGCUCUAGUAAGGUCUUGGAUACUAAACGGACUGAGUCAAGAACUCUCUCCAGCUUUCAUCUUCUAUAAAUCAGCACAUCGCUAUGGAAGGAAUUGAAAGCAAGAUUCCACAUACAAAAUGGACCACUAGUUUUUCAGUUACAAGUAAAAAUCAUGAAUCUCACACAAGGAGAAGAUUCAGUCUGCAACUACUACACAAAACUGACAAAAUUAUGGAAUGAAUACGACAUGAGCAGAAAAAGUGUAGAAGUGAUACAAGAAGAAAGACUCAUAAAGUUCCUGAAUGGACUAAAUGAGACUUACAAACAGCUAAGCAGACAAAUAAUGCAAAUGGAUCCUCAGCCUGAUCUAAACAGAGCAUAUUCAAUGGUGACCCAAGAUGAACAAACAAAGGACAUGGAGACACUGAAAGAAUCAGCAACAGCACUACUGGCACAAGGACCUUACAGACCACCAAGGCCACAGAAUGAAAGACCCUACUGCACUGGCUGUAAAAGGCCAGGACACACAAUCAAUACAUGCUACCAAUUGCAUGGAUACCCUGCAGAAAGACCAGCAUAUGGGAAUAAUAAACAAAAUCCCAGACCAUCCUUCCAACCACAAUUCAAUCAACAAAGAAGACCACCUUUCAGACCAUCUGGACAACCAACUAGAGGCCACAACUAUCAAAGAGCAGAAAUUUCAACAACAAUUUCAGACCACAGACCAGGGCAUACAACAACUACUCUGAGGAAGUUGAAAACCAACAGUGGCAGGAAAAUGAAAACAACUACACAAUGGAAGAAAUAAACCAGGAAUAUUAUACAACUGAAAACGACAAUGGAUAUCAAAACAACAACGCUAGUCAACCUGAAUACCAGAGUGGGAAUCAAAACAUAAUGGAACAGCUAAGAUCUCUCCUUAACCAAAAUCAAAAUUAACAAGCAGAAGAUGAAAAACAUUCUGUACAUAUGGGCAGAGCACAAGCACAACCAGAAAUGAACCCAAACCAUACUGGUAAUUAAGCCCCAAGAAUCACUCUGUUUCAAUACAAAAACUAGGAACACCACUGACUGGAUAAUAGACAGUGGAGCCACAGAUCACAUGUGUGGACCAACCAUCACACUAAGUGAAAAAAGGGCAUUAGUAAAACCUAUUGUUGUAAACCUUCCAAACUCACAAAUAACAACUGUGAGAUACAUUGGGAAUUACAAAAUAGACGAUCUGUUAACAUUACACAAUGUACUACAGAUUACUGACUUCAAUGUAAAUUUGAUAUCAGUAACAAAACUUACAAAACAGUUAAAAUGUAGCUUCUCAUUUCAUCCUGAUCAUUGUUUGAUACAUGAUUCGAAGAUGAGAUUGAUUUCUAUGGGUAAAAGGAUCGAUGGACUUUACAUGCUGAAUGGAAGAAAAGAAGCCCUGGAACAACCAAGGUCAUAUGCUGUCAACAGAGCACCAUCAGCAAACAUUUGGCACAAGAGACUGGGACACCCAUCCCAGAUUAGAUAUGAUUUAAUUAGGAAAAACAUUGCUUAUUUACCAAAAUUGGAGAAUGUAUUUUGUAAUGAAUGCCCAAUGGCAAAACAUACUAGAUUCUCUUUUCCUUCAAGCAAUACUAAAACCUCAGGAAUCUUUGAAUUGCUACAUAUAGACCUAUGUGGCCCCUACAAAGAACCAACCCACAAAGGACAUAAAUAUUUUAUGACCAUAGUGAAUGAUUUUUCUAGGGCAACAUGGACAAUACUAAUGAGAAACAAAAGCAAUACUUAUGAAAUCUUCAAAAAUUUCAUAAUAGAAGCAAUGAAUCAAUUCAAAACGAAGAUAGGAACCAUAAGGAGUGAUAAUGAAACUGAAUUCCAAUCCCAGGAGUUCAAGAUAUUUUUAGCAAAAUAUGGCAUAAGACAUCAGUUGACAUGUCCAUAUACCCCCCAACAAAACUCCAUUGUAGAAAGAAAACAUAGACACCUACUAGAUGUAGCCAGAAGCAUAAUGUUUCACUCCCAAACACCAAUAAAAUACUGGGGAGAAUGUAUAUUAACGGCAAGCUACUUAAUAAAUAGGACACCCUCUCCUGUCAUACAAAACAAAACACCAUACCACAUUCUUUUUAACAAAGAACCGAAUUACAACAGCCUAAGAGUUUUUGGAUGCUUAUGCUAUGCAAAGAACAACAAAAUCUCAGACAAGUUUGAACCAAGAGCAGUAAAAGGAGUGUUUCUUGGUUACACAACACUGACAAAGGGAUACAAAAUCCUAGAUUUAGAAAAAGGGACAAUCUUUAUAAAUAGAGAUGUAGUCUUCUACGAAACAGUCUUCCCCUUCAAAAAUCAACAAGAAAAAGAAUUCAUAAAUCCAUCCUUAAUAGAAGACAUAAAUUACACAACAAAUAAAAGAACAGAACCAUCUGCACAAAGCAAAAGAAAAGAACCAGAACAACCACCACAAAGGCCUAACAGAGAAACAAAAAGGCCUAAAAUUCUGGAAGACUACAUAUGCUAUAAUGCAAACAAAUCAAAAUACCCAAUAGAAAAAUACAUAUCCUAUGAUAAUUUAUCAGAAAAACACAAUGCUUUCCUAACAGAAAUAAACAAAGAGAAAAAACCAAAAUCAUACACACAAACAAUAAAGGACUCAAAAUGGUGUGAUGCAAUGGAAAAAGAAUUAAAAGCAUUAAAGGAAAACAAGACAUGGGAAAUUGUAAAAUUACCAGAAGGAAAGAAAGCAAUAGGAAACAAAUGGGUAUACAAAACAAAGUUCAACUCAGAUGGAACAUUAGAAAGGCACAAAGCCAGACUGGUAGCAAAAGGAUACAACCAAGUUGAAAGAAUAGACUAUACUGACACCUUUGCACCAGUCUCUAGGAUGACAACGCUAAGGACAAUAAUAGCCUUAGCCGCCCAAAACAGAUGGCAUCUACACCAGAUGGAUGUCCAAAAUGCCUUCUUACAUGGAGACCUAGAUGAAGAAGUCUUUAUGAAAAUUCCCCAAGGCUUGAAAAUUAAAAACCAAAAGGAACAGAACCUAGUAUGCAAACUGAAGAAAUCCCUAUAUGGCCUUAAACAAGCUUAUAGAAUGUGGUUUCAUAAACUAAACAGUGCACUACAAACAAUAGGGUUUAAACAAACCAAAACAGACUAUGCACUCUUCAUAAAAGAAGAACAAAACUCAAAAACAUUCAUACUAGCCUAUGUAGACGAUCUAUUGGUCACAGGGAAUAACAUUAAUCAAAUAAACAAAACAAAAAUAGAAUUGGCAAAUUUCUUCAACAUAAAAGAUCUAGGAAAAUUAAAAUACUUCUUAGGACUAGAAUUCACCUACGCACAAACAAGAAUAUACAUGGGGCAAAGAAAAUAUGUACUAGAUCUGUUAGAAUCAACUGGAUACCUAAAUUCAAAACCAACAACUACACCAGCAAAGAAAACACAAGAAAAUAACAAAAAAGAGAAUGAUGAAAGAGAACUCGAGGAUGCCACACAAUACAGAUGCAUAGUAGGAAAAUUGGUAUACCUAACAGUGACAAGACCAGACAUAACAUACGCAGUAAACACAUUAAGCCAAAACAUGGCCAAACCAAGGCAAAAAGACCUAAAUGCAGCACAUAAAGUGCUAAGAUAUAUUAAACAAUCACCUGGUUUUGCUAUCUCCUUCUCAGGGUCCAACACUUCAGGAUUAAGAGCCUUCUCAGACUCUGAUUGGGCAUCAUGUCCUUCAACAAGAAGAUCAACAACAGGGUUCGCCAUCUUCCUUGGGGGAUCCCUAAUAUCAUGGCAAACAAAAAAACAACACACAGUUGCUCGAUCAUCAGCAGAAGCAGAGUACAGGGCAUUAACAUAUACAAGUUGCAAGAUAACAUGGAUCAUCAACCUACUAAAAGAAAUCGGAACUUACAAAAAUGAGACUCCAAUACUUUACACAGACAGCAACUCUGCAGCAGCAAUAGCAAAAAACCCAGUACUACAUCAAAGAACAAAACACAUCGAGAUCGACAUUCACACAGUGCGCGACAAAAUCAUGGAGAAAAAUUUGAAGAUAGACAGAGUAGACUCAAGAAUGAAUGUAGCCGAUAUAUUCACAAAACCAGUAAUGGGAAUACUAUACAAAACACUACUGAUGCAACUUGGAUAAUCACAUUUGAUAAUAAUACAUCAUAGUCAUACAUUUCUAACAAGAAUGUUAAGACGACGAUUAGCUCGUACUGGAGAGAUGACCGGCGUUGGGUCGACAGAGUUGGCCGUCGGAGUCGCCAUCAGCAAGAAGGGGGGAAAUCACGAUUUGAACGUCGCUUAACCAAUGUGAACCGGUGGUUAAGCGAACCGGGUUUAGAGAGAAUAACUUUGUAUUAGAAUCAAUUGAUUUGAGUGUUAAUUACAAUUAGUUUUAUAAGAAUUCUUAUUAACUAAUACAUAACUAACUCUCAUUUAAAUUUAGCCCAACACUUGUAAGUAAUGAAUCCGGCCCGUAUAUAAUUGGCCUAUUCUCUUUUUAUUGAAACUAUUGUGCAUUAGCCCUCCACCUUCUUUUAUAGCUGAAACUUAAGUGUUGGGUUAAUUACCUGCACAGUAAACACUUAACAACAAAUUAUUAACAAGUACUAAACUUAAUAGAAAUUAUAUUUGGGUCCUGAGUUCAGUUUAAUAGAAAUUAAUUUUAUGAUCAUUGUUUUAGGUUUAUUAAAUCCUUUAUAGAAAUCAAGCUAGUGAGUCAGAAGUUGAUUUGUUUUUAAAUUAAUUAUUUUGGCAAGGGAGAAAAACCAAGUUGGGAUAUCUAUUCUUGCUUCUCUUUUAACUUUAAUACCUGGGAAAACCCUGCUGUCAAAUCAACCAAGCUGCAAUAAGCGAUAACAAAUCAUUUUCAGCAUCAUUUCAUUUGAGAUAUUUGCUUCAGUAGCUUGGCAAAGUAGUAAAUUAAAUAGCUGCUCCACCAGUUUAGAGAUUCUUCAAUAUAUGUUUAAAAUCAGUUCUAUUCUUGUUUCAGAUAUUCACCAUCAAAUUUGAAUAUUCAGCAACCAAGCACAGUAGCACAACCAACAACACUUUCAGCCAUCAUGUAAGAUUAGCAUGUACUUGAAAUCGAAUACUUACAAGAAGAGCACAACACCUGAUACCAUGAGAGAGUUACUCAAUUCUUGUAACUGAUUUCUAAGAAAGGUAAAUUCAACAGCUAACCCCAGACGAAUGUGUUUCAGAGUUAUUUAAACGAAAUGUGAUGCGUUCUUCGUGGAUUACUCAGACAUUGCAGAAGACAUCCAAGAAAUCACAAUAGCAAGAGAGAAACUAACCCUAGCUGAAGAUGAAUUAAGAGAGGGCGCGGCUCAAAACCAGUUCAACAAAUCUGAGCUCGGUCUGACCGGAGAUCGCCCAAACCGGAAGGGAGCAGCACCAAACCGAUUUAAAGACUACAUAAUGGGCUAGGGUCAGGUCGAGCCACUUUUGAUGAAGAAAAAUUUAAUAAAUUGCAGGGAACAAUCUAAGUAGUUAAUUAAUUACAAUUCCCAUAAUAGUAUAAAAUAUGUAAUUAUUUGGACAAAUGUUUUUUAUCAAAUUAUUUGAAC